AAACUAAAAAUGAACCAAACGGCGCCGCCUCUCUCUACACGCUUCUGCCCGUUGCCUCAUGCCCAAAAUCGCCAGAAAUUUGCUUUUCCGGCACGCGCUUUCAUUGGUACCCCCUCCCCUUUUCUACCUUAUCUUUCGUCCAUGUGGUCUGACAUGUAACAAACACCCACUCACUCGAAUAUUCCUUCAAAUUUUUCUUUUUCUUGACAAAUUCAAAUUCUUUUCAGAUGGGUUUUGGAAAAUUGGAGGCCGUAGGAUUAGAGUUUUUUUGAUCCUAGGUUUUCACUUGUCUAAAAUCGGUCAUUUCAAAAAAGAAUUUUUGGAUUUAAUAAAGGUUUGGAUUUUUCAGAGUUUUGGAGAAGAUUUUCGGAUGUUUGAGGUCCCCACGCGAUUUCUUGGUGAAGAAGUAUAGAAGUUUCGAGAUGGAGUAUAUAUUUUGGGCCUUUUUCUUUUAGUCGGGGGAGGCCAGUCUUUGGGAGGAAAAAUUAGAAAGCUAGGGUUUUGGUUCUGAUUUACAAUCUUCAUCUUCUACUUUUAGUUUCAUUCAUAUAAAACGUUAGUGUUUCUAUUAGUUCUUCUUUUGAUUUUUGAAACAGAAAAUAUGUAUAUGUAUAUAUAUAUGUAUAUGUAUAUGUAUAUAUAU
rnacentral:lncRNA from 1 species